GUCUACGGCCAUGCCACCCUGAACAAGCCCGAUCCCGUCUGAUCUCGGAAGCUAAGCAGGGUCAGGCCUGGUUAGUACUUGGAUGGGAGACCACCUAAGAAGAACGGGUGCUGUAGGUG
rnacentral:rRNA from 1 species